GAUCCUGGCUCAGAACGACGCUGGCGGCGCGUUUAAGCAUGCAAGUCGAGCGGCAAGGGCCUUCGGGCCCCUAGAGCGGCGGACGGGUGAGUAACACGUGGACAAUCUGCCCCCCGGCCCGGGAUAGCCCAGGGAAACCUGGAUUAAUACCGGAUGAGACGGGACCCGCGAUGGCGGGACCCGGGAAAGGCGCUGCGGCGCCGCCGGGGGAUGAGUCUGCGUCCCAUUAGCUAGACGGCGGGGUAACGGCCCACCGUGGCGACGAUGGGUAGCCGGCCUGAGAGGGUGGACGGCCACAUUGGAACUGAGACACGGUCCAGACUCCUACGGGAGGCAGCAGCUAAGAAUCUUCCGCAAUGGGCGAAAGCCUGACGGAGCGACGCCGCGUGAACGAAGAAGGCCGUGAGGUUGUAAAGUUCUUUUCGGGAGGGGGAACAACCGUGGCAGGGAAUGGCCGCGGGAUGACGUGAAUCCCGGAAUAAGCCCCGGCUAACUACGUGCCAGCAGCAGC
rnacentral:rRNA from 1 species